GUGAGGUAAUGGCUCUCCAAGCUACGAUCCGUAAGUGGUCUGAGAGGAUGAUCAGUCACACUGGUAUUGAGACACGGUCCAGCCUCCUGCGGGAGGCACCAGUGGGGAAUAUUGGACAAUGGGAGAAAGCGUGAUUCAUCCAUACCGCGUGUGUGAAGAAGGUCUUCGGAUUGUAAAGCACUUUAAGUUGUUAGGAAGGUCAGUAAGUUAAUCCCUUGCUGUUUUGACCUGUACGGCAGAAUAAGCCCCGGCUAACUCUGUGCCAGCAACCGCGGUAAUUCAGAGGGUGCAAGCGUUAAUUGGAAUUUCUGGGCGUAAAGCGCGCGUAGGUGGUUCGUUAAGUUGGAUGUGAAAACCCCGGGCUCAACCUGGGAACUACAUCCAAAACUGGCGAGCUAGAGUACGGUAGAGGGUGGUGGAAUUUCCCGUGUAGCGGUGAAAUGUGUAGAUAUAGGAAGGAACCCCAGUGGCGAAGGCGGCCACCUGGACUGAUACUGACACUGAGGUGCGAAAGCGUGGGGAGCAAACAGGAUUAGAUUCCCUGGUAGUCCACGCCGUAAACGAUGUCAACUAGCCGUUGGAAUCCUUGAGAUUUAGUGGCGCAGCUAAC
rnacentral:rRNA from 1 species